AUUUCUUUUUUUGCUAAAUGUAAUUUAUGUUG
rnacentral:antisense_RNA from 1 species